UACGGGGGGAGCAAGCGUUGUUCGGAUUUACUGGGCGUAAAGGGCGCGUAGGCGGUCAGCACAAGUCAGUUGUGAAAUCUCCGGGCUCAACCCUGGGAUGCCGGUGGAUACUGCUGGACUAGAGUGCGGAAGAGGCGAGUGGAAUUCCCGGUGUAGCGGUGAAAUGCGCAGAUAUCGGGAGGAACACCAAUUGCGAAGGCAGCUCGCUGGGACGCUACUGACGCUGAGACGCGAAAGCGUGGGGAGCAAACAGG
rnacentral:rRNA from 1 species